AUUGAACGCUGGCGGCAUGCCUUACACAUGCAAGUCGAACGGCAGCACGGGGCAACCUGGUGGCGAGUGGCGAACGGGUGAGUAAUGCAUCGGAACGUACCUUUCAGUGGGGGAUAACGUAGCGAAGGUUACGCUAAUACCGCAUAUUCUGUGAGCAGGAAAGCAGGGGAUCGCAAGACCUUGCGCUGAUCGAGCGGCCGAUGUCAGAUUAGCUAGUUGGUGAGGUAAAGGCUCACCAAGGCGACGAUCUGUAGCGGGUCUGAGAGGAUGAUCCGCCACACUGGAACUGAGACACGGUCCAGACUCCUACGGGAGGCAGCAGUGGGGAAUUUUGGACAAUGGGGGCAACCCUGAUCCAGCCAUGCCGCGUGAGUGAAGAAGGCCUUCGGGUUGUAAAGCUCUUUCGGCCGGGAAGAAAUCGCACGGGCUAAUACCCUGUGUGGAUGACGGUACCGGAAUAAGAAGCACCGGCUAACUACGUGCCAGCCGCCGCCGUAAAAC
rnacentral:rRNA from 1 species